rnacentral:lncRNA from 1 species
UCAAAAUGAUUAUGGUGUGGUCGAAUGAUUUGUCAUUGAUCUCGUAAAUAUGGUACGCCAAAAAGGACUUUGUCAAAUGUUAUAAAAAUAAAUUAUUAAAGGCAAAAGUAAAACAAGAAAGAGGUCUUGCAUAAAAUAAUUUUGACUAUAAUGGCAAUUAUUUUUCUCCCUAAAAGGAGAUGGUCACCGUACAAAUGGUGUUUUAAAAUAUGAGGUAGUACACAAGUAUUUGAUACCCUCGAAAAGCUAAUGUGUUACUACUCGAAGGAAUGAAA